rfam:Bombyx mori DNA, contig: Bm_scaf35_contig21224, strain: p50T/Dazao, build 2, whole genome shotgun sequence.
UUAACUCAAAUUUGUAUGGAGUCGGAACGUUUGCCUACGUUUGCCGCUAGGGGCGCUGUUCCUACUCCAUACAAAAUUGAGUUA